AAGCACUGGCGGGGUGCUUACACAUGCAAGUCGAACGGUGAAGCCCAGCUUGCUGGGUGGAUCAGUGGCGAACGGGUGAGUAACACGUGAGCAACCUGCCCCUGACUCUGGGAUAAGCGCUGGAAACGGCGUCUAAUACUGGAUACGAGUAGCGACCGCAUGGUCAGUUACUGGAAAGAUUUAUUGGUUGGGGAUGGGCUCGCGGCCUAUCAGCUUGUUGGUGAGGUAAUGGCUCACCAAGGCGUCGACGGGUAGCCGGCCUGAGAGGGUGACCGGCCACACUGGGACUGAGACACGGCCCAGACUCCUACGGGAGGCAGCAGUGGGGAAUAUUGCACAAUGGGCGCAAGCCUGAUGCAGCAACGCCGCGUGAGGGAUGACGGCCUUCGGGUUGUAAACCUCUUUUAGCAGGGAAGAAGCGAAAGUGACGGUACCUGCAGAAAAAGCGCCGGCUAACUACGUGCCAGCAGCCGCGGUAAUACGUAGGGCGCAAGCGUUAUCCGGAAUUAUUGGGCGUAAAGAGCUCGUAGGCGGUUUGUCGCGUCUGCUGUGAAAUCCGGAGGCUCAACCUCCGGCCUGCAGUGGGUACGGGCAGACUAGAGUGCGGUAGGGGAGAUUGGAAUUCCUGGUGUAGCGGUGGAAUGCGCAGAUAUCAGGAGGAACACCGAUGGCGAAGGCAGAUCUCUGGGCCGUAACUGACGCUGAGGAGCGAAAGGGUGGGGAGCAAACAGGCUUAGAUACCCUGGUAGUCCACCCCGUAAACGUUGGGAACUAGUUGUGGGGUCCAUUCCACGGAUUCCGUGACGCAGCUAACGCAUUAAGUUCCCCGCCUGGGGAGUACGGCCGCAAGGCUAAAACUCAAAGGAAUUGACGGGGACCCGCACAAGCGGCGGAGCAUGCGGAUUAAUUCGAUGCAACGCGAAGAACCUUACCAAA
rnacentral:rRNA from 1 species